rnacentral:sRNA from 1 species
AAUCUUGAGUUGCUACAACCUCUGCCUCAUGGAUUCAAGCGAUUCUUAUGCCUCAGCCUCCCAACAGGGGACCUCCUCGCCCACGACCUGCCCCAGCAGUUGGAGAGGCUGAAGAUAAAGAAAAUCAGCAAGCCACCAGUGGUCCAAACCAGCAGUCUGUUCGCCGUGGAUACCGGCGUCCCUACAAUUACCGGCGUCGCCCGCGUCCUCCUAACGCUCCUUCACAAGAUGGCAAAGAGGCCAAGGCAGGUGAAGCACCAACUGAGAACCCUGCUCCACCCACCCAGCAGAGCAGUGCUGAGUAACACCAGGCUCCCCAGGCACCUUCACCAUCGGCAGGUGACCUAAAGAAUUAGUGACCAUUCAGAAAUAAAGCAAAAAGCAGGCCACAACCUUACCAACACCAAAGAAACAUCCAAGCAAUAAAGUGGAAGACUAACCAAGAUUUGGACAUUGGAAUGUUUACUGUUAUUCUUUAAGAAACAACUACAAAAAGAAAAUGUCAACAAAUUUUUCCAGCAAGCUGAGAACCUGGGAAUUCCUGCACAGAAGACAAGAGAGCAGCCUCCCCAGUUUCAGCAACCGCUAGGUUUAUAUUUUUUUUCCUGGUUUUUACUGUUUUGGUAAUAUAUAUAUUGAAACAAGAAAUAUUAAUACCACAUGGGGAGAACCCCAA